GCGAAAGUAGCUCAGUGGUAGAGCGUCACAUUGCCAAUGUGAGGGUCGUGAGUUCAAAUCUCAUCUUUCGCUC
rnacentral:tRNA from 1 species